ensembl:snoRNA U3 Small nucleolar RNA U3
AAGGCUGCGCUUUCUGGGAUCAUUUCUAUAGUUCAUUACUAGAGAAGUUUCUCUGAAUGUGUAGAGCAAAAGAAAAAAUAUU